rnacentral:tRNA from 1 species
AGUUAAUGAACUUGAAUAAGUAUAUGUUUUGAAAACAUAAUAUAGGAUUAAAUAAUUCCUAUUAACUU